GCUCAGGAUGAACGCUGGCGGCGUGCUUAACACAUGCAAGUCGAACGAUGAUCCCAGCUUGCUGGGGGAUUAGUGGCGAACGGGUGAGUAACACGUGAGUAACCUGCCCUUAACUCUGGGAUAAGCCUGGGAAACUGGGUCUAAUACCGGAUAUGACUCCUCAUCGCAUGGUGGGGGGUGGAAAGCUUUAUUGUGGUUUUGGAUGGACUCGCGGCCUAUCAGCUUGUUGGUGAGGUAAUGGCUCACCAAGGCGACGACGGGUAGCCGGCCUGAGAGGGUGACCGGCCACACUGGGACUGAGACACGGCCCAGACUCCUACGGGAGGCAGCAGUGGGGAAUAUUGCACAAUGGGCGAAAGCCUGAUGCAGCGACGCCGCGUGAGGGAUGACGGCCUUCGGGUUGUAAACCUCUUUCAGUAGGGAAGAAGCGAAAGUGACGGUACCUGCAGAAGAAGCGCCGGCUAACUACGUGCCAGCAGCCGCGGUAAUACGUAGGGCGCAAGCGUUAUCCGGAAUUAUUGGGCGUAAAGAGCUCGUAGGCGGUUUGUCGCGUCUGCCGUGAAAGUCCGGGGCUCAACUCCGGAUCUGCGGUGGGUACGGGCAGACUAGAGUGAUGUAGGGGAGACUGGAAUUCCUGGUGUAGCGGUGAAAUGCGCAGAUAUCAGGAGGAACACCGAUGGCGAAGGC
rnacentral:rRNA from 1 species